UAAAAGUGAGCACCGCCUGCUUCCCCUGAGACCGCUCAGCGCUUUCCGCGUCGCACCUUCUCCCUGCCUGCUUUCUCGUUACAGCCCGGUGGUUUCAGUCAGGCAGCUGCCUUUCCCAUCAAGAUUUUGGUAUUUGUCGUGGCUAACUUCAAGAUUUUCCAAUAGGGGAUGUGUAAGACCAAGGCCCGGGCCACGUGAGCAUGAAUCACUCGGUUACCGCGGAAACGAUCGACACUAUUUGGUUUUUACUUCUUCGGCCCCAGUGACCGGAUCACACGCCGACCUCCCCGGGCUCAGGCACACCCAAAGUCUGGGGACGAUGCGAGCCUGGGCGCUGCGCGUGAAUCACCGUGACUGCGAGCCUUCUGCUGCAAGGGGAAAGCACGAACUGGGCGUGAGCUUCCCCCCCCCGCUCCUUUUCCAUUUCCUUUUGUCUGAGGGAGAAGGAGGGCUGGAAAGGUCCCAUCCGUGCGAAGAAAUGAGCAGCUUAUCCCACUUCCACGUGCAAAAAGAAACUGAGAAUCACGGCUUUACGGGUUAAAACAGCGUCGCUGUGAGUGUGGAUGAGUUCCACUGCGAGUGAAAAAUGGCAGAAGGGGGUUUAGCUUAACUCCCUCCGCGACGCCUUUUCUCCAGGGGAAAGAUUUACAGGUGUGAGGGAGGUUUUGCAUUUUACCCAGGUAGCUGCGACAAAUCCAGGCUUUUAAAAAAUGAAAUUGUGCCCUAACAGCUCUGUGAGAACGACCACAUGGGGUCAGCCCAGCUCUCCCCAGCGGGGCUCGGCGCAGAUGGCCGGGACCUGCGCAGGAACAGAGAUUUUGGACAAGCCUUCUCCAGACACAUCCUCCCAGUUUCCGGCAAUCAGCAGCGCGGGGACAUCCUGACCCAGGAUGUUCAUCUGGCCCCUGGUAUUUAAUAGCCGAACGCCGCUCUCCGUGCAUGUGCCUCAGCUCCUGACCUCCAGAGCUCCCAGAGUGCCGCAGCGUAACGGCUCUGAAUGGGGAAAAAAGCCUUCAGUUUGUUUAAAACUCCUCUUUUAUUAGUCCCGGAGACCGGCCCUGUCCUAUUUACAGCCACAGGUGCUGACUUCAGCUUGGCUUGAGGACAGAAACCUUUUUCACGUGCGGAUUUUUGUAGCGGCAUGGGCCCGAACCAGAGCAGGGAAACGAUCUGGAUGGAAAAACCUCCCCGAGGGAAGGGGAAUUUGCCAGGCUGCUGGUGGAGGGGGGAACAGACCCUCUUCGGCUGGGUUUACAAGCAGUGAGUGAAGAAACCCCCCCCCCCGAUGGAAGCAGCGGGGUUUUAACCCAACCUCAGUGCCUCCAAAAGCCUCUUCCAUUCCAGCAAUGUUUUAGGGAAAGGCUGCUGGCACUCGGGGAUUAACCUCUCGCAAAGGUUUGCUCUUCACACCCUCCCAGGGCCCGUAACCCCCCCUGGCAGACCCUGUGCCCACCCCUCAGGCAGGGCAGCUGGUUUUCAGUGCCCCUCUCUCCUUGUGCAGCGAGCUUGAAGCCCUUUCUCUGAUUUUAGCCACAUCGGAAGGAGGCGGUGAUGCUCUUAAAGGCUUUCUGAAGAAUAAGUGAGUGUCUGGGGAAGGGCUCAGCUGCUCUGUGAACACCCCGGAGGGUCCCCGCACAAAACAGGCCUCGUUUCUUAGCACGGUGAUGGGAAGUGGCCGCGGAGAAGCUCCCACUUCUAGAGACAUCUGUAAGACCCACGGUGGCUUUCCAAAGGUCAAGUGAUUCAGGUCAGCGAGGAUUCACAGCAGCCAGCAGAUAAAUCUCCACGGGACCGCCGAAGCCAGGGUUUGGUUGCAAAAAGCUGAAAUAAAGCGUUUCCACUCGUGUCGCA
ensembl:lncRNA